UCUAAUACCGGAUAGGACCACGGGAUUCAUGUCCUGUGGUGGAAAGCCUUUUGCGGUGUGGGAUGAGCCCGCGGCCUAUCAGCUUGUUGGUGGGGUAACGGCCUACCAAGGCGACGACGGGUAGCCGGCCUGAGAGGGUGUCCGGCCACACUGGGACUGAGAUACGGCCCAGACUCCUACGGGAGGCAGCAGUGGGGAAUAUUGCACAAUGGGCGCAAGCCUGAUGCAGCGACGCCGCGUGGGGGAUGACGGCCUUCGGGUUGUAAACCUCUUUCACCAUCGACGAAGGUUCGGGUUUUCUCGGAUUGACGGUAGGUGGAGAAGAAGCACCGGCCAACUACGUGCCAGCAGCCGCGGUAAUACGUAGGGUGCGAGCGUUGUCCGGAAUUACUGGGCGUAAAGAGCUCGUAGGUGGUUUGUCGCGUUGUUCGUGAAAUCUCACGGCUUAACUGUGAGCGUGCGGGCGAUACGGGCAGACUAGAGUACUGCAGGGGAGACUGGAAUUCCUGGUGUAGCGGUGGAAUGCGCAGAUAUCAGGAGGAACACCGGUGGCGAAGGCGGGUCUCUGGGCAGUAACUGACGCUGAGGAGCGAAAGCGUGGGGAGCGAACAGGAUUAGAUACCCUGGUAGUCCACGCCGUAAACGGUGGGUACUAGGUGUGGGUUUCCUUCCUUGGGAUCCGUGCCGUAGCUAACGCAUUAAGUACCCCGCCUGGGGAGUACGGCCGCAAGGCUAAAACUCAAAGGAAUUGAUCGGGGGCCCGCACAAGCGGCGGACGCAUGUGGAUUAAUUCGAUGCAACGUCGAAGAA
rnacentral:rRNA from 1 species